rnacentral:rRNA from 1 species
GAUGAACGCUGGCGGCGUGCCUAAUACAUGCCAGUCGAGCGAACAGACGAGGAGCUUGCUCCUCUGACGUUAGCGGCGGACGGGUGAGUAACACGUGGAUAACCUACCUAUAAGACUGGGAUAACUUCGGGAAACCGGAGCUAAUACCGGAUAAUAUAUUGAACCGCAUGGUUCAAUAGUGAAAGACGGUUUUGCUGUCACUUAUAGAUGGAUCCGCGCCGCAUUAGCUAGUUGGUAAGGUAACGGCUUACCAAGGCGACGAUGCGUAGCCGACCUGAGAGGGUGAUCGACCACACUGGAACUGAGAAACGGUCCAGACUCCUACGGGAGGCAGCAGUAGGGAAUCUUCCGCAAUGGGCGAAAGCCUGACGGAGCAACGCCGCGUGAGUGAUGAAGGUCUUCGGAUCGUAAAACUCUGUUAUUAGGGAAGAACAAAUGUGUAAGUAACUAUGCACGUCUUGACGGUACCUAAUCAGAAAGCCACGGCUAACUACGUG